ensembl:misc_RNA 7SK 7SK RNA
GGAUGUGAGGGUGAUCUGGCUGCAACAUCUAUCACCUCAUUGAUGACUAGGGUUGAUUCAGCUGAUCUGGCUGGCUAGGCAGGUGUCCCCUUCCCCCUCACCACUCCAUGUGUGUCCCUCCUGAAGCUAAGCACUUGGUCGAAGAGGACGGCCUUCCCGGAAUAGAGACGGUCUUUGUUUGAGGUUAUAGGAGUAGCUGUGCUCCCCUGCUAGAACCUCCAAACAGCUCUCAAGAUGUCUAACUAAAAUAAAGUCAUACUUUUUGUGACUGUGGAUUUAUGAGAAUCACAUUUUAUUGUCAUAUGGUAUUGUAUUCAAAUUCUGAAAACAUGAAUC